GGAGAACCUUCUUAGGAUUCUUGUUGGAGAUCCUUACUCUAUCUCCGUCCAUUCUUUCCAAUAUGAAUGGAUACCAAGGAUCCACGGAUAUGGUCUCC